rnacentral:lncRNA from 1 species
UUAAUAAAUAAUUAAACGGUAUUUUGUGACUUUAUAGAUGUAUAAUUGAUUAAGGUUGCCAAUGGAGCCCGAGUCUGAUACAUUGUUGGUCAGUUGUUGUUUGAUCUAAUUUUCAGUAUUAAAUGCAGUAUGAUGUUUGAUGUAAUUAUUUUAGGGUCUCGUAUGCAUGAAUCAUUGUUUCUUUUAUUAUGGUUUGUAUUAUGGUGAACCCGAUACUGUGUUGUCUUAUUUGGUGUCAAUUAUUGGUUUACAUGUUGUGUAUGAUUGGAUGAUUGAGAUCAAGGAAAAAGGCAAAAAGGUUAUGUGAAUUGAUAAAUGGAUAAUGUGGACAGCCUGACUAGAUAUCCUGGGAGAUGGUGGACGGACUGGGUCCGUAGGAAACCCUACCGGGAACGUGGUCUCUCAUACCGGACAAGGUAUGGAGACCUUAUGUGUUUUAGCGCCCAUACCGGACGGGGUAUGGGG